CAGGUCACGAUCGCGGCCGCGCAAACAAAGGGAAAGUGCGUCAUCAUUAUGUGAUCAGAACUGGAAGGUAUUGCUAGGAGCAGAAUUAAAGUUAGGAGACAGUGAGAGAAAACUGGGAGCGAAGGAAAGUAAUGUUGGAGAAGGGCUUAUAUUCUAGAUGAGAGUUGAGCUAGAUUAUGUGGAAUUGGCAUUUACAGCUUUGGAAGAAACUGAGAAGUCAUGAUUUCCAUAGAAACUGAAAUUGUCUGUUCUGGAUUUCUGUCCUGUACUGGCGUCAAUGACUUCUGUAAAUUCGUUUUACAGAGGAUUAGAAGGAAGGAUUAAUGAGUGUGAGACUCAAACCAAGCAUCACAUCAGGAGCUGAUCGAGUCAUUCGGUUCAUCGGAACCUGAAUAUCAUCAGUCUUUGAAUGUGAAAAGAGAAAUGUUUUGUCUGUGGUAAAAUAUUUCAAACAUCAGUGUGACUGGAACAGCAUUGGUACAUACUCCUGAAUGAGUGUAUGCCAAUGAACUGAAUGAGCUUGAAACAACUGUGCAGCCUGAAAUAAAUUGCCCAGUUUGUAGUGAGGAGAGACUGUACAUAUGUUGUGUGUAGAGACAAUUGAUUAUUCCAACCUGGAGAGUCACAGAUGAUGGAGAAACUAUGCAAAUGUGAAAAGCGUAGGAAGGGAUUCGAUUACCUUUCUGAAUUGGAUAUUCAUCAAUCCAGACAUACUAGAGAGAAGCCAUUCAGCUGUACUCAAUGUGGAAAAAAGGUUUGCUCAUCCAGCCUCUAUACGCACCAGACAAUACACACUUUCAAGAGGCAAUUCACUAAUAUUGAUUGCUGGGAACAAUUUGAUACUUCCAUCAAAUCUCCUGAUUGUUCAGGUUCAUUCGGACCUGAAUCCUUUGAAAUGUUCCCACUGUGAGAAACGCUUUAAAAGCAAACAGGAGCUGCUCAGGCACCAAUACAUUCACACGGUGGUGAGACUUCCGCUAGCUCCAUUUUUGAAAACGGAUUCACUUUGUCAUCCACCUUUUGACACACCACUUGUUCACACAGUUAAGAGACCUUUUGCGUGUUCUGACUCUUGGAAAUGUCUUGAUUUAUUCCUGGUUUUGAACAUCCACAUGAACAGUCCGAAUCCCAUGCGCCAUGUCCUGUUCCCAAACACAGCAUCUGAUUCCAUCCGGUGUGUGAUACAGGAGCGUCUCAGUGUCAGGGGAGACGGAAGAUGAUGUGGUGAAAUACGAUUCACUUGUUGGAAGAAUGGAAAACACAGAGUGUUCCAGUUUGAAAUGGUUGAUUUGCAAAUGAAACUACAUCCAGAUCUGACAAUUGCUCUGUUUGUAAUAACCUAAUCAGGAUUUUGAACAUUGAAGGAAAAAGCACCGUUCACAAUGGGGAGAAACACAUAUCAUCUGUGUGGAAGAGUGUGAAGAUUCAUCUGAAAUGUCCAAACGCCAGUACAGUCACACUGGGAAAAGACUAUGGGAAUGUGGGGGUGGUGGGAAGGGAUUUCUUUACCCAUCUCAGCUGGAAAUGCACCAAUGCAGUCACACUGGGGAGAAGCCAUUCACCUGCCCUCAUUGUGGGAUGAGAUUCACUCUGUCGUCCCACCUGCAGAUACACCAGCGAGUUCACACAGGGGAGAGACCAUUCACCUGCUUCCUGUGUGAGAUUCAGUCAGUCAUCCAAACUGCUUAUACACCAGCAAGUUCACACUGGCAAGAAACCAUUCACUUGCUCCCAGUGUGGGAAAGGAUUCAGUCAGUCAUUCAGCCUGUGGAUACACCAAUGCAGUCACACUAGGGAGAGACCAUUCGCUGGGGAAAAAUAUUCACUCAUUCAACUCACCUGCUGAUACAUCAGUGUGUUCACUCUGGGGAGAGACCAUUUACUUGUUCCGUAUGUGGGAAGGGAUUCACUCUGUCAUCCAAACUGUUAACUCACCAGUGAAAUGAGACUGGGUGGAUCCUGUUCACCUGCUCUGUUGUGUAAAAUGAUUUGCUGUUUGCAAACACAACAGCAAAUUCUCAAAAAACUACAGGUGAAAGAUUUUGCUUUUACUUACACCUAGGAAUGAACCUUGGUCAUUGGGCCAUCUGUAUUGAUAUUAUUAAACCCUGCUCCAUUAAAGGUCCUGCUAUUGUUGGUAAAAUGUUGAUACGAUUGUAUAUCUGUAUGAUAAGUUUUGAAAUGAUCACAAUUUCACUGUACAUCAACACAUUUAAAUUGGGUAAAGACUGUCCACCUGCAAGUUGAUUGCAAAGUGAUUUUGUGGUUCAUCAGGGCUGUUUAAACAGUGGUGAGCUCCCUAGUAACUCCGUGUUGGAUUUUGAUGUUGUUUUUGUCUAUAUGCAAACCCAUU